rnacentral:rRNA from 3 species
GACUCUCGGCAACGGAUAUCUCGGCUCUCGCAUCGAUGAAGAACGUAGCGAAAUGCGAUACCUGGUGUGAAUUGCAGAAUCCCGCGAACCAUCGAGUAUUUGAACGCAAGUUGCGCCCGAGGCCACCCGGCCGAGGGCACGCCUGCCUGGGCGUCA